UAAUUACCUACUUCCGUAACUUUAUCCUCUCAAUUUUCUAAUCUUUAAUAGCCCUGCAACAUGUUCAAUAAGUGCUGUGUUGUGACCUGCUAGUAGACGAAAAGACGUCUGUUUUCAUAUGUUUCCAAAAAUUCCUGCCAUCAGUGAUCAUGGUUAUUGUAGAAAGACGUGUCAUUUUGAUCACACAUAUUGAAAACUAGAGGUCAUGCAGAACCACACAAAAUAGAUAAUAAACAUGGUGACAUUGAUGACGCUGUGCAUCACACUCCAUCAAGGAAGAGGAGACCACAUAUCAUUUUCAAGAAAAUGAAACUUUCACCUCAUUGUGCAAGUCUUUAUUAUGAAAUUACCAAAUCACGAAAGCAGCUUAACUUUGAUUUAAGAGCUUAAAGUGCAUUUUCACAGAAAAUCAUUUAUAAAGUUUACAGAGAAAAUGAACCCUAUUGCAAAGAAAUUUUUGUAGAUGCAGA